CUAGUACUCCCUCCAUCCAACAAAGAAUGUCUCAAGUUUGAUCAAAUUUGAAUGCAUCUAUAUACUAAGUCAUGUCUAGAUACAUCCAAAUUUUGACAAACUUGAGACAUCUUUUGUUGGACGGAGGGAGUACUAU
rnacentral:pre_miRNA from 1 species